rnacentral:lncRNA from 13 species
AGGAUACUUUUGCUAUCACUCCUAGUACUAUGUUAAAUAGGAGUGAUGAAAGUGAACCACCUUGUCUUAAGGGCUUUCAACUUUUCUCCAUUCAGUAUGAUGUUGGCUGUUGAUGUAUCAUAUGGACUUUUACAUUUUGAGGGGCAUUUUUACAUGUUACUGCUCAUAUAAACAACUAUGAAUUGGAGUAAAUCAUUUCAAUAUCUAUACUUUCUUAAGGAACUGGCUCACAAGAUUGGGCAUUAGCAAGUUCAAAAUGUGUG